rnacentral:tRNA from 2 species
GGGGUUGUGGUUUAGGGGUAUAACAUUCCAUUUGCAUUGGAAAGGUCCCGGGUUCGAUUCCCGGCGACUCCA